rnacentral:rRNA from 1 species
ACAGCAGCAGCCGCGGGAAUACGUAGGUGGCAAGCGUUGUCCGGAAUUAUUGGGCGUAAAGCGCGCGCAGGUGGUUUAAUAAGUCUGAUGUGAAAGCCCACGGCUCAACCGUGGAGGGUCAUUGGAAACUGUUAAACUUGAGUGCAGGAGAGAAAAGUGGAAUUCCUAGUGUAGCGGUGAAAUGCGUAGAGAUUAGGAGGAACACCAGUGGCGAAGGCGGCUUUUUGGCCUGUAACUGACACUGAGGCGCGAAAGCGUGGGGAGCAAACAGGAUUAGAUACCCCAGUAGUCCCUGUCUCUUAUAC